UUGAACGCUUGCGGCAGGCCUAACACAUGCAAGUCGAGCGGAUGAAGGGAGCUUGCUCCUGGAUUCAGCGGCGGACGGGUGAGUAAUGCCUAGGAAUCUGCCUGGUAGUGGGGGAUAACGUCCGGAAACGGGCGCUAAUACCGCAUACGUCCUGAGGGAGAAAGUGGGGGAUCUUCGGACCUCACGCUAUCAGAUGAGCCUAGGUCGGAUUAGCUAGUUGGUGGGGUAAAGGCCUACCAAGGCGACGAUCCGUAACUGGUCUGAGAGGAUGAUCAGUCACACUGGAACUGAGACACGGUCCAGACUCCUACGGGAGGCAGCAGUGGGGAAUAUUGGACAAUGGGCGAAAGCCUGAUCCAGCCAUGCCGCGUGUGUGAAGAAGGUCUUCGGAUUGUAAAGCACUUUAAGUUGGGAGGAAGGGCAGUAAGUUAAUACCUUGCUGUUUUGACGUUACCAACAGAAUAAGCACCGGCUAACUUCGUG
rnacentral:rRNA from 1 species